rnacentral:rRNA from 1 species
UACGUAGGGUGCGAGCGUUGCCCGGAUUUAUUGGGCGUAAAGGGCGCGUAGGCGGCCACGCACGUCCGUUGUGAAAUCGCCCGGCUCAACUGGGCGGGGUCAGCGGAUACGGUGUGGCUCGAGCAAGCUAGGGGGCAAUGGAACUCCCGGUGUAGUGGUGGAAUGCGUAGAGAUGUGGAGGAACACCGAUGGCGAAGGCAGCCUUCUGGGCCAACACUGACGCUCAUGCACGAAAGCGUGGGGAGCAAACAGG